rnacentral:rRNA from 1 species
GAGUUUGAUCCUGGCUCAGGAUGAACGCUAGCGGCAGGCUUAAUACAUGCAAGUCGAGGGGCAGCAGCUUUAUAGCAAUAUAGAGGCUGGCGACCGGCAAACGGGUGCGGAACACGUACACAACCUUCCUUGAAUAGGGGGAUAGCCCAUAGAAAUGUGGAUUAAUACCCCGUAAUAUAGCGGUGUGGCAUCACACUGUUAUUAUAGUUUCGGCGAUUCGAGAUGGGUGUGCGGCUGAUUAGGUAGUUGGCGGGGUAAAGGCCCACCAAGCCUUCGAUCAGUAGCUGAUGUGAGAGCAUGAUCAGCCACACGGGCACUGAGACACGGGCCCGACUCCUACGGGAGGCAGCAGUAAGGAAUAUUGGUCAAUGGACGCAAGUCUGAACCAGCCAUGCCGCGUGAAGGAUGAAGGUCCUCUGGAUUGUAAACUUCUUUUAUAGGGGGCKAAAAAAGGUCUUUCUAGAUCACUUGACAGUACCCUAUGAAUAAACACCGGC